UCCUAAAAUCUCUAUACCUAGAAUAGGUC
rnacentral:sRNA from 1 species